ensembl:snRNA U2 U2 spliceosomal RNA
AUCACUUCUCAGCCUUUUGGCUAAGAUCAAGUGUAGUAUCUGCUCUUAUCAGUUUAAUAUCUGACACGUCCUCUAUAUGAGGACAACAUAUUAAAUGAAUUUUUGGAAUUAGGAGUUGGAAUAGGAGCUUGCUCCAUCCACUCCACUCAUUGACCUGGUAUUGCAGUACCUCCAGGAAUGGUGCAAAAAAA